rnacentral:rRNA from 1 species
GGGAAAGAGCUUGCUCUUUCCGGAAUUGAGUGGCAAACGGGUGAGUAACACGUAAACAACCUGCCUUCAGGAUGGGGACAACAGACGGAAACGACUGCUAAUACCGAAUAAGUUCCAAGAGCCGCAUGGCCCAUGGAAGAAAAGGUGGCCUCUACCUGUAAGCUAUCGCCUGAAGAGGGGUUUGCGUCUGAUUAGCUGGUUGGAGGGGUAACGGCCCACCAAGGCGACGAUCAGUAGCCGGCCUGAGAGGAUGAACGGCCACACUGGAACUGAGACACGGUCCAGACUCCUACGGGAGGCAGCAGUGGGGAAUCUUCCGCAAUGGGCGAAAGCCUGACGGAGCAACGCCGCGUGAGUGAUGACGGCCUUCGGGUUGUAAAACUCUGUGAUCCGGGACGAAAAGGCAGAGUGCGAAGAACAAACUGCAUUGACGGUACCGGAAAAGCAAGCCACGGCUAACUACGUGCCAGCAGCCGCGGUAAUACGUAGGUGGCAAGCGUUGUCCGGAAUUAUUGGGCGUAAAGCGCGCGCAGGCGGCUUCCCAAGUCCCUCUUAAAAGUGCGGGGCUUAACCCCGUGAUGGGAAGGAAACUGGGAAGCUGGAGUAUCGGAGAGGAAAGUGGAAUUCCUAGUGUAGCGGUGAAAUGCGUAGAGAUUAGGAAGAACACCGGUGGCGAAGGCGACUUUCUGGACGAAAACUGACGCUGAGGCGCGAAAGCGUGGGGAGCAAACAG